UGCCAGCCGCCGCGGUAAUACGGAGGGAGCGAGCGUUAAUCGGAAUUACUGGGCGUAAAGCGCGCGUAGGCGGCUUUGUAAGUCGGAUGUGAAAGCCCUGGGCUCAACCUGGGAAUGGCAUUCGAUACUGCAUGGCUAGAGUAUGGUAGAGGGAAGUGGAAUUUCCGGUGUAGCGGUGAAAUGCGUAGAUAUCGGAAGGAACACCGGUGGCGAAGGCGGCCUCCUGGACCAAUACUGACGCUGAGGUGCGAAAGCGUGGGUAGCGAACGGGAUUAGAUA
rnacentral:rRNA from 1 species